rnacentral:rRNA from 1 species
GGAAUAGCUUUCGAAAGAAAGAUUAAUACCCGAUGGUAUCUUACGCGCACAUGCAAAUAAGAUUAAAGAUUUAUCGGUAGGCGAUGGGGAUGCGCUCCAUUAGAUAGUAGGCGGGGUAACGGCCCACCUAGUCUACGAUGGAUAGGGGUUCUGAGAGGAAGGUCCCCCACAUUGGAACUGAGACACGGUCCAAACUCCUACGGGAGGCAGCAGUGAGGAAUAUUGGUCAAUGGGCGCGAGCCUGAACCAGCCAAGUAGCGUGAAGGAUGAAGGUCCUACGGAUUGUAAACUUCUUUUAUAAGGGAAUAAAGUCACCCACGUGUGGGUGUUUGUAUGUACCUUAUGAAUAAGCAUCGGCUAACUCCGUGCCAGCAGCCGCGGUAAUACGGAGGAUGCGAGCGUUAUCCGGAUUUAUUGGGUUUAAAGGGAGCGUAGACGGGUCGUUAAGUCAGCUGUGAAAGUUCGGGGCUCAACCUUGAAAUUGCAGUUGAUACUGGCGUCCUUGAGUACGGUUGAGGCAGGCGGAAUUCGUGGUGUAGCGGUGAAAUGCUUAGAUAUCACGAAGAACUCCGAUUG